rnacentral:tRNA from 1 species
AGAGAAGUAAGUGACUUAAUUUAAAGCUUCUAACUUUAAAAAAAGAGGUUUAAUUCCUUUUGCUUCUCU